CACAGCCAGAAGAGGACUGGCCACCCCUCAUAGCCUGGUUCCUCUCUAGGUUUCUAAUCUCCACCCAGCACAGCCAGAAGAGGACUGGCCACCCCUCAUAGCCUGGUUCCUCUCUAGGUUUCUAAUCUCCACCCAACACAGCCAGAAGAGGACUGGCCACCCCUCAUAGCCUGGUUCCUCUCUAGGUUUCUAAUCUCCACCCGGCACAGCCAGAAGAGGACUGGCCACCCCUCAUAGCCUGGUUCCUCUCUAGGUUUCUAAUCUCCACCCGGCACAGCCAGAAGAGGACUGGCCACCCCUCAUAGCCUGGUUCCUCUCUAGGUUUCUUCCUAGGUUUU
rnacentral:lncRNA from 1 species